rnacentral:rRNA from 1 species
UACGGAGGGGGAGCUAGCGUUGUUUCGGAAUUAGCUAGGGGCGUAAAGGGCUCGUAGGCGGCCAACGUAAGUCGGAUGUGGAAAUCCCCAGGCUACAACCGUUCGGGGAACCUGGCAUCCGUAUAACUGGAUGGCUUGAAUUCGGGAGAGGGAUGGCAGAAUUACCAGGUGUAGCGGUGAAAUGCGUAGAUAUCGUGGAGGAAUACCGUGGCGAAGGCGGCGAUCCUGGACCGACAUUGACGCUGAGGAGACGAAAGCUGAGGGGAG